UGUGAAGAUAUGAAUUUAACCUCUUUGUCUCAAAAUAUUUUUUAGUAGUGUUAGUUUUAGAUUAUAAAGAACUUCUAAAUGUUUAGAUUAAAAGUUUAAGAUCCAAAAAAAAAAAUCUGAACUGAAACAUACACGACUCGCGUGAAAAUAUCACGUUUGUAAUAAAACCUGUUAAUGGUGUAAAAAUUUUCAGAAACCAAAUUCACGUACGAAAAUUUUGGCCGCAUGCAGGCAUGCACACUUAACGAUUGUUUUCUUUCGUAUAUAAAUCGUACAGUGUAAAUUACAUUGAAUUUAUAUCCUAAAUUCAAUGGUGAAUUUAUUAGAUUACAAAUCAUGUGAUCAAACAGUUUAAGUACAAACCUCCCCGCUGAAAAAUGCAUAAAUGUUCUUAUUUAUAUGGUUUAGUACUUUUUUAUUUUCUUGAUUGUAUGGCGAUAUUUUUUGUAUUGACAAUAGUAUUCAUAUACAAGUUUGAAAGUGAGUAAUGACGUGUCAAUAGUAAUAUGAUAAUAUUUUGAUAAAUGGAGCUUGAUAUUGAUAUUAACCUUUUAGAUGAAAUUCCUUAAUGUUAAAUUUGAUCAGUGUUUUGCACCCAAAAAAUAUCAGAUCAAUCUAUAAUUGGCAGGAGUAAAUGUUUAUCUCUUAGGAAGGGUAUUUUUUUGUCACAUCUUUGUAAAACUAAACAUUAAUAAAAUCUCAAAAUCUAAAAUCUUUAGCGCCGACGAACAAGUAUUUUUCUUGACCACGACUAACGUUUUUCUUACGUCGGUGUCGAAUGACUUACGUCUCUCUUUGAUGUGUCUCCUGCUCCACUCUUUCUUUUGUAUCCGUCUUCUUCCCAUUUUGGUUUUAUUCGAAAGAGAUCCUAUCGUUCGACUUGGUUGCUCCAGCCUCCAGCCUUUGAUUUGUUCGUCUUUUUAUUUAAAUCCGAAGGGUUUAAAUAUUGCAUAAUUCUCCAUUAUGCAGUGAAUAUUCUACAUGUGACUCAUACCUAGGUCUACUGAAAUCUUUAUAUUUAAUUGACAAAUGGAUAAUGACAGAAAAUUAACAAUUCAAAUCUAGUAUCAAACAAUAUAAUAAGCAACCACAGAACUAAUUAAAAGCCACCGAUACGUAGCCAACCCCGUAAAGGUUGGAGCGUGCUUUCCACGUCACUCCAAGGAGCGUAACAAAGUCACUACUGAAUUGCUUGUUCUACGGUUCCUUUGUUAACCACAUAACUCACGAUUACUUUCCCUCUAUGUAACGGCGAGAUAACCGGCUGGCAUAAAUCGAUAAACCGGAAAUAACCACUGGUAAAGCAAAUAAAGAGCAAAGGAGAGAAAAAUGGAGAGAAAGAGGGGACCAUCAAUCAUGUCGUAACUCCCGGCCAAAAACAAAAACACGUGUCGAUACGACGUUGCCUGGACCACAUAUGGUCCCCUCCAAAGCAAUAGCAUGCGUUUCGGGAUAAGAGAAUCCCAACCGUACAUCUGGAUUGAUGCAACCCCGAAUAAAGAAAAAACAUAAUAAAAAUAAAUUACUUUAAAAAAAAAUAGAUACGACAAAAUUAUUUUUAAAAAAAAUUAGUUAAAAAAUUAACGUGGGGACCAGUCCUAGAUUUUUUCAGACUUAGGCUGACAGCCGCCGGCUUAAUGAAAGUGGACGGCCGGAUUUAACCCCAACAAAUUUUAAAAAUAUUAUUAUUUAAAACGUUUUUAAAAAUUGAUGAAACAAAAUUAUUUUAAGAAAGAAAGAAAUAUAUAAACAAGGGGACCACAUAGCGCGUGGGGUCUACUGACUGGUGAGGGGAGAGAAGGUGUUUAAGUAGCCAACUGUUUACCUAUCUCCAAAUGGUCCCCUGCCUAGUUCACACUAAAAUUCUUAUAUAGAAACCAUUUUAUUUCUUUAAGGUAAAAUCAACUUCGUUCUGACAAAAAAAGAAAACAUUUCAAUGAAAGAUUUCAAAAUUUAUUAUCUAUUAUAUCUGACAAAAGGGAAAUAGUACUCUAAUUAUUACUACCUUCAAAAGUAUUUACUAUUUUUUUGUCAAUCAAAAGUAUUUACUAAAUAAUCGUUAUAUAGUUUUAUACUAUUACAAUUUGGUUAUUUGGACAUGUUAACUUAAAAAAAAAUAUUUGAUAAGUUUGAGUUAGUCUUUAAAAAAAUAUACAAAAGAGUUUUGUGUUGGUUCUAGUUUGAGACCUAGGUUCACUUAAAGGCAUGAUUAAACCAAAUUUUUUAAUUGGGGUUCUUAACUCAUUAUUUGAUAAUUAUUUGUUCUUUUUUUUUUAUAUUUUUGGGCUAAGAAACAAUUUUAUAUCUUUUAUUUAAGAGAAAGUUCUUAGUUUUUCUUAAAAGACCUAAAAACCGUCUCCUAACCGAAGCUAAAAAUUUUAGUUAAGAAAUUGAGGUAAAUCAUGAUUUAAGGAGAGAUGAUAUGGGUCUAAUAACUUCUUUUUUUUUUUAACAACAUGCGUCUAAUAAUUAAUUACAAGUAUUAUCAAAGGCAAUCCAAUAGACCAGUGGAUCCAAACUUUCUGGUUAAUAAAUUUAAAACUAUAUUUUGUAAUUUUGUGUGUUUGUUCUUUCUUUUCUCUUCUUCAUUUGAUGAUUACCACCUUUUGUGGUUCGUUGCAGUUUCAUUGAUUUGUUUCUUCUAAAAAUUCUUGUUGAAUGAUCUUUGAUAAGUAACGAUAAUUUGUAACCUCAUUUUUCACUAUGAUUAAUUUAUCUGUAAAACUAACAAGAUAACAAAAACUAGAACUCGUGAAAAGCAAAAAAUACUCAUCAAAACUGAAAACUAAAUUACAUGAAAGAGUUGUUUGAAGAUUGACCGAUAUGUUGUUAGGGUUUAUCCAGAAACACAUAUCGUCCAUUUCAAUCUUCACAUCAGAGAUAUAAUAAGGUAUUAAUAAAAUUUCGAGCGGUGACUGAAUAAAUUGCUUUGCCUUUGGAUCAUAUCUUGCGACCGAGAGAGGCGUAUAGUCCUUUACUCUUUUAAUGGAAGUGUGUCAUUUUCACAACCUUUUGAUCCUUCUUAUUUCUUUUUUUUUUUAUCUAAAGCUGAAUACAUCCACACAAUUUCUCACCAAAAAAAAAAAAAAUUCUCACAAGAUAUAACGAAAAUAAAUAAGUUUCGUCCACUAAAUUUUCAAGUAAAAUAUUAUAUGUUAUAUUUACGAUAAAUCAUUCAAACGCAAAAGCCAGCCAAACACCUCUGUAACAUACUAUUUUACUUACUAUGCAACAGUAAAUGCAUGAUACUAAAAAUAGUAAAGAAAAUUCUCUAUAUUUUAUAUAUUUAUAUAUGUGGAAUCUCGCUACUCGAGAUCUGCUAUUUAAUUUUGUUUGAAAUGUUCCAGUUAAAUUAAGUAAAAAAAAAUGUUCCAGUUAAAUUACUAUAACAUGAACUCGUGGUUGUGUGAGAUAUAUUGCGUUUGUGACCGAGAGAUGAACUCUGGAGUCAAGGUUCUUGUGGCUGAAACUUACUGUGAUGGUAUCCUAUGAGUUAGGAAUGAGAGAAUGAGAGAUGUCAAUCCAAGUCCCACAUUGGAUAAUUAGACAAGGAGUAUCUAAUAUAUAAAGAGAUGUCCAACUCUAAUAGUACGAGGUCUUUUGGGAUGGAAACCAAAAGUAAAUCCAUGCGGGCCAGCCUCCUAAGGCCCAAAGUGGACAAUAUCGUACUAAUAAGAUAAAAUAGAAUUGGACACGGGAUUUCACAAUCCCAACAAUUGGUAUCAGAGCGGUUGACAAUAAAUCUGCAAGAAGACCAAAAUACCCUUCGAGUAGGAACGGGACCCUUCAAAGUGAUAAGAGAGGUUCGGCAGAGAUUAGUCAGAAGAUCCUGGAAUUGUGGGAAGAGCAUCCUUAAAGCCACUCAAAGUAAACCUUGCGACUAAGGGUGUCGAAUGUCGAAGAUGCGACAAGGCACCGAGAUGAUUCGCUAGAAGAAAGGGCACAAGGUGUGUGGUCCUUAGCUUGAGGGGGAGAAUGAGAGAUGUCAAUCCAAGUCCCACAUUGGAUAAUUAGACAAGGAGUGUCUAAUAUAUAAAGAGAUGUCCAACUCUAAUAGUACGAGGCCUUUUGGGAUGGAAACCAAAAGUAAAUCCAUGCGGGCCAGCCUCCUAAGGCCCAAAGUGGACAAUAUCGUACUAAUAAGAUAAAAUAGAAUUGGACACGAGAUUUCACAAUCCCAACAAUUGGUAUCAAGAGCGGUUGACGAAUAUCUGCAAGAAGACCAAAAUACCCUUCGAGUAGGAAUGGGACCCUUCAAGGUGGAAAGGGAGGUUCGGUAGAGAUUAGUCAGAAGAUCCUGGAAUUGUGGGAAGAGCAUCCUCAAAGCAACUCAAAGUAACCUUGCGACUAAAGGUGUCGAAUGUCGAAGAUGCGACAAGGCACCGAGAUGAUUUGCUAAAGGAAAAGGGCACAAGGUGUGUGGUCCUUAGUUUGAGAGGGAGAAUGAGAGAUAUCAAUCCAAGUCCCACAUUGGAUAAUUAGACAAGGAGUGUCUAAUAUAUAAAGAGAUGUCCAACUCUAAUAGUACGAAGCCUUUUGGGAUGGAAACCAAAAGUAAAUCCAUGCGGGCCAGCCUCCUAAGACCCAAAGUGGACAAUAUCGUACUAAUAAGAUAAAAUAGAAUUGGACACGGGAUUUCACAAUCCCAACAGUGACAAUCCUAACUUUUAUGAUCCUACGAUGCACAUGAAACAUAUUAUAAUAGAAGAUCGGGUUAACCUGAGAAUGUUAAAUAAUAAAAGUUAAAACUAUAGAGAUUGAUUUAUGGUAUGUACAGUCUCGUAACUCAAAUCAUGCACAAAUUCCUCUGUAUAUCAUGUGCCUCCUCAAAUGUUUCUUCACCUAGUUCAAGAAUAUGCAUUGGUAGAAUAAUUUAGUGAAUUGACAACUCUCACUCUCCUUGUCAUCGAGGGAGCCCUCUAGGAUUAUUCUUCUUCUCGGACGUAGUAGUAGUGAGGGUCGGAUCCAAAUGACAUUUAUAAUGGAAGGAAAAUAAAACUAAUAUAAAUGGUUAACUUAGCCCUCAAACUGAGAGUAACCAUCUUAUAUAUUCAUUAUUAGAACAAGUCUCUAGUUUGGAUAGUUUGUGUUAAAUUGUAAGAAUAAAAUGAAUGAAGAUCGAUCUGAAUUAAUUUGCCGACAGGGUUCUAUAGUAUUUUGUCAACGAUUCAGCUAAAAUCUUAAAAUUGUGGGAUAGAGAUGGAAACGAAGUGUAGCUAAUUGACAAAGAUUUCCAGUAAAACCUGGUUGAUAAUCUAUACAGAUCAGAAGCAUUAAUAUCAUUUUGAUGGGUUUAAAAGACAGUACGCACAGACACUUACAUACCCUUUAUAAAAGUCAAGUCUUACUCAUGCUGGUCUUUAUUCAUUGCAAUAUAGUAUACAAUAUGACAACAUGCAUCUAUGCAUAUAUAUUGCCGACAAGAUACACAUCAUUAUAUAUAUAUAUAUAUAUAUAUAUAUAACAGAAAUGAAGCAAAAUACAUGAACACGAAAUUAGGUUAAAUGCAAUGGAAUCUAGCGCAAAAGAUAUCUAGUUUAUCAUAUUUAACUAUAGUUGAAGUCUAUCAUAAUUCUGACACGCCCAAAUAUUUGUUGAACACUAAAUAGAUGAUAUGCAGUGAGACAUUUUUGUGUGAAUAAUGUACCUAGUGACUAUAUCACAUUCCCAAAGAUCUUGAUAUCUAACAAAUCAAACUAUCUUUGAUACAAGUACACUACUCUUAACCAAUAAUACUCAUUCCCCUCCCAUUAAGCUGAUAUCGAAAUUGAUUGAUAGUGCUCAAAUGUCUUCUAUAUCAUGAAUUGCUCAAAUGUCUUCAUAUUAUAUUAUUAUUUAUAUUUAGCAUGUGUUUGUCUUUAGUAUGGUCAUGAAUAAUGUACCUAGAGACUAUAUCACAUUUCCAAAGAUCUUGAUAUCUAACAAAUCAAACUAUCUUUGAUACAAGUACACUCUCUUAACCAAUAAUACUCGUUCCCCUCCCAUAAUUAAGCUGAUAUCGAAAUUGAUUGAUAGUGCUCAAAUGUCUUCAUAUUAUAUUAUUAUUUAUAUUUAGCAUGUGUUUGUCUUUAGUUUAAGAUUAUGUUUUUCAAACGUGAAUCCAGAAAUACACAGUUUUGAUUUGAAUCCCAACAUUAUUGAUAUUUUGAUUGGACUCCUUUCUCACGUUUAGGGUUCUUUCCAAAAAGUUAGAUGCAGCAUAUCUAUUGUUCGACUUUAUCAUUGUAUUAUUAUAUACAAAUAUAAUUAAUGAACCACGAAAGGUCCAGUUUGGGGCCUACUUAUCUUCUUGGCCGGCUAUGGUAAUCAUUUUUCCAGUCCAAGCAAAUCUAAGCCGAAGUAACAACGAACUUUGAUGAAACGAUUGCACAAAACCAUGUAUAAGUAGUUUUCACAGUCAGUGAAAAUAAUAGAAGCAUCAAGAGGAACAAAAACUAUUGAUCUUAAAUGUUCAAAGUAGUAGAAGUCAUAGGAACAUGUAAUGUUAAGGAAUGUGAAGCGAGUGUAAAAAUAAGCAUUGAGUAAAACAGGUAUAUAAGAAGUCAAGAAGAAUGAGACAUUUGUAUGCUCCUCAAGUUAAAAUCCUCCCACAUUAGACUGUUCUCCAUUAAAAGCGGACCACCAAAAAUAGAGAAAAAAAGCAAAGACAAUUUUCAUUAGUACUCAAUUCUUUUGAGAUUGGACCACUCCUCCACUCUCCUCUCCUUUCAUUCUCAAUGCUUCUGCCUUUGGCCAUACCAUUACCACACCCACA